CCUACGGGUGGCAGCAGUGGGGAAUAUUGCUCAAUGGGCGAGAGCCUGAACCAGCCAAGUCGCGUGAAGGAUGAAGGAUCUAUGGUUUGUAAACUUCUUUUAUAUGGGAAUAAAGUGAAGAACGUGUUCCUUUUUGUAUGUACCAUAUGAAUAAGCAUCGGCUAACUCCGUUCCAGCAGCCGAGGUAAUACGGAGGAGGCGAGACUUAUCCGGAUUUAUUGGGUUUAAAGGGUGCGCAGGUGGUUAAUUAAGUCAGCGGUGAAAGUUUGUGGCUCAACCAUAAAAUUGCCGUUGAAACUGGUUGACUUGAGUAUAGUAGAGGUAGGUGGAAUGCGAGGUGUAGCGGUGAAAUGCAUAGAGAUCACGAAGAAUACCGAUGGCGAAGGCAGCUCACUAAACUAUAACUGACGCUGAAGUACGAAAGCGUGGGGAGCAAACAGGAUUAGAUACCCGUGUAGUC
rnacentral:rRNA from 1 species